UGGUAGCAGAAGACGAUAUUUCGUCAACAAUCUGGAAUCACUAACAGAUGUCAUACACAAGGCACUUGAGUGAAUGUCAACCUUCAUUGUUGAAGCAUCAUCACCUUGGGGAUUUCGUCGGUUGUGAUGUGUGAUUCUGCGGUGGUGGCUUUUUGGUGAAGACUAGAUACAAAUUUGGAGGAGAGAAUAUUACGAGAAAAUGUGAAAAGGGCAUGCAGCCUACUGUCUACUAUUGUGUUGUAAAUCCUGGGAUCCUACUGAAUGUGUCAUCCAAAUGACAGAGGAUUCAUCAUAAUUAUCGACUGAUUCUAUUAGACUUGCUAGAUCACCAACCCCAUCAUG